rnacentral:rRNA from 1 species
UACGUAUGGUGCAAGCGUUGUUCGGAAUCAUUGGGCGUAAAGGGUAUGUAGGCGGACAUAUAAGUCAGACGUGAAAUCUGCGGGCUCAACCCGCAGUCUGCAUUUGAUACUGUGUGUCUAGAGUUUGGGAGAGGCAAGUGGAAUUCCUGGUGUAGCGGUGAAAUGCGUAGAUAUCAGGAGGAACACCGGUGGCGAAAGCGACUUGCUGGCCUGGAACUGACGCUGAGAUACGAAAGUGUGGGGAGCGAACGGG